CUACGGGGGGCUGCUGUGGGGAAUAUUGCACAAUGGGGGGAACCCUGAUGCAGCAACGCCGCGUGGAGGAUGACGCAUUUCGGUGUGUAAACUCCUUUUAUAUGUCAAGAAAAUGACGGUAGCAUAUGAAUAAGCACCGGCUAACUCCGUGCCAGCAGCCGCGGUAAUACGGAGGGUGCAAGCGUUACUCGGAAUCACUGGGCGUAAAGGACGCGUAGGCGGGUUGGAAAGUCAGGUGUGAAAUCCUACAGCUUAACUGUAGAACUGCACUUGAAACUUCUAAUCUAGAGUAUGGGAGGGGGAGAUGGAAUUAGUGGUGUAGGGGUAAAAUCCGUAGAUAUCACUAGGAAUACCUAAAGCGAAGGCGAUCUCCUGGAACAUUACUGACGCUAAGGCGUGAAAGCGUGGGGAGCAAACAGGAUUAGAUACCCCCGUAGUC
rnacentral:rRNA from 1 species